rnacentral:tRNA from 1 species
GCCAGGAUGGUGGAAUCGGUAUACACGCAAGACUUAAAAUCUUGUGGCUUUGGCCAUGCGGGUUCGACCCCCGCUCCUGGUA